UACGAAGGGGGCUAGCGUUGCUCGGAAUCACUGGGCGUAAAGCGCACGUAGGCGGAUUGUUAAGUCAGGGGUGAAAUCCUGGAGCUCAACUCCAGAACUGCCUUUGAUACUGGCGAUCUCGAGUCCGGGAGAGGUGAGUGGAACUGCGAGUGUAGAGGUGAAAUUCGUAGAUAUUCGCAAGAACACCAGUGGCGAAGGCGGCUCACUGGCCCGGUAUGACGCUGAGGUGCGAAAGCGUGGGGAGCAAACAGG
rnacentral:rRNA from 1 species